GACGAACGCUGGCGGCGUGCUUAACACAUGCAAGUCGAACGGAAAGGCCCCUUUGGGGGUACUCGAGUGGCGAACGGGUGAGUAACACGCGAGUAACCUGCCCUUGACUUCGGGAUAACUUCAGGAAACAGGGGCUAAUACCGGAUAGGAAUCCUUGCUGCAUGGGGGGGGUUGGAAAGCUUCGGCGGGGUUGGGUGGACGCGCGGCUUAUCAGCUUGUUUGUGGGGUAGUGGCUUACCAAGGAUUUGACGGGGAGCCGGCCCGGGAGGGCGGCCGGCCAACAUUGGACUGGGGUACGGCCCAGACUCCUACGGGGGGCCAGAGGUGGGAAUAAUUCCCAAUGGGCCGGAGCCUGAUGCAACAACGCCGCGGGCGGGAUUACGGGCUUCGGGUUGGAAACCGCUUUCAGCAGGGGCGGAACUUGUGGUGACGGUACCUGCAGAAGAAGCACCGGCUAACUACGUG
rnacentral:rRNA from 1 species